rnacentral:rRNA from 1 species
UGGGUGAUCUGCCCUGCACUUUGGGAUAAGCCUCGGAAACGGGGUCUAAUACCGGAUAUCACUCCUUUCUUCAUGGUUUGGGGUUGAAAGUUCUGGCGGUUGGGGAUGGGCUCGCGGCCUAUCAGCUUGUUGGUGGGGUAAUGGCCUACCAAGGCGUCGACGGGUAGCCGGCCUGAGAGGGCGACCGGCCACACUGGGACUGAGACACGGCCCAGACUCCUACGGGAGGCA